rnacentral:rRNA from 1 species
AGUGAACGCUGGCGGUAGGCCUAACACAUGCAAGUCGAACGGCAGCACAGUAAGAGCUUGUUCUUACGGGUGGCGAGUGGCGGACGGGUGAGGAAUACAUCGGAAUCUACUUUUUCGUGGGGGAUAACGUAGGGAAACUUACGCUAAUACCGCAUACGACCUACGGGUGAAAGCGGGGGAUCUUCGGACCUUGCGCGAUUGAAUGAGCCGAUGUCGGAUUAGCUAGUUGGCGGGGUAAAGGCCCACCAAGGCGACGAUCCGUAGCUGGUCUGAGAGGAUGAUCAGCCACACUGGAACUGAGACACGGUCCAGACUCCUACGGGAGGCAGCAGUGGGGAAUAUUGGACAAUGGGCGCAAGCCUGAUCCAGCCAUACCGCGUGGGUGAAGAAGGCCUUCGGGUUGUAAAGCCCUUUUGUUGGGAAAGAAAAGCAGCAGGUUAAUACCCCGCUGUUCUGACGGUACCCAAAGAAUAAGCACCGGCUAACUUCGUG